CAGUCGCCACGGUAAUACGGAGGGUGCAAGCGUUAAUCGGAAUUACUGGGCGUAAAGCGUGCGCAGGCGGUUAUGUAAGACAGUUGUGAAAUCCCCGGGCUCAACCUGGGAACUGCAUCUGUGACUGCAUAGCUAGAGUACGGUAGAGGGGGAUGGAAUUCCGCGUGUAGCAGUGAAAUGCGUAGAUAUGCGGAGGAACACCGAUGGCGAAGGCAAUCCCCUGGACCUGUACUGACGCUCAUGCACGAAAGCGUGGGGAGCAAACAGGAUUAGAUACCCGCGUAGUCCCUGUCUCUUAUAC
rnacentral:rRNA from 1 species